rnacentral:rRNA from 1 species
UACGUAGGGUGCGAGCGUUAAUCGGAAUUACUGGGCGGAAAGCGUGCGCAGGCGGUGAUGUAAGACCGAUGUGAAAUCCCCGGGCUUAACCUGGGAACUGCAUUGGUGACUGCAUUGCUGGAGUAUGGCAGAGGGGGGUGGAAUUCCACGUGUAGCAGUGAAAUGCGUAGAGAUGUGGAGGAACACCGAUGGCGAAGGCAGCCCCCUGGGCCAAUACUGACGCUCAUGCACGAAAGCGUGGGGAGCAAACAGG